rnacentral:rRNA from 1 species
CCUACGGGGGGCAGCAGUGGGGAAUAUUGGACAAUGGGCGAAAGCCUGAUCCAGCCAUGCCGCGUGUGUGAAGAAGGCCUUCGGGUUGUAAAGCACUUUCAGUGGGGAAGAAAGCCUUGGGGCUAAUACCCUCGAGGAAGGACAUCACCCACAGAAGAAGCACCGGCUAACUCCGUGCCAGCAGCCGCGGUAAUACGGAGGGUGCGAGCGUUAAUCGGAAUUACUGGGCGUAAAGCGCGCGUAGGCGGUCUGAUAAGCCGGUUGUGAAAGCCCCGGGCUCAACCUGGGAACGGCAUCCGGAACUGUCAGGCUAGAGUGCAGGAGAGGAAGGUAGAAUUCCCGGUGUAGCGGUGUAAUGCGUAGAGAUCGGGAGGAAUACCAGUGGCGAAGGCGGCCUUCUGGACUGACACUGACGCUGAGGUGCGAAAGCGUGGGUAGCAAACAGGAUUAGAUACCCCAGUAGUC